ACGCUCGACACCUACGUGGAGGCAGCAGUUGGGAAUAUUGGACAAGUGGAGGGAACUCUGAUCCAGUGACGCCGCGUGAAGGAAGAAGGUCUUCGGAUUGUAAACUUAUUUUAUCAGGGAAGAAAGAAAUGACAGUACCUGAAGAAGAAGGACCGGCUAACCACGUGCCAGCAGCCGCGGUAAUCUGAGCGGGCUGGCAAGGC
rnacentral:rRNA from 1 species